rnacentral:sRNA from 12 species
UAAUUACUACCACCAUAUUAUUAACCAUGUGUAUAAAUACAAUAUCAUGUAUCAUGGAGUUAUUCAGAAGAGCUGUCAAGCACAAGGAUACUUUUGUAAGGCAACUUUGUAUGUAUAGUAAUAUAUAUGCAAGAGAUGUAAAAAUCAAUUAAAGGGUAACGUGCAAAAUAAAAUCGCUUAAUAAUGUACUAGAGUUGUCGCAGCCAUAAUAGACGACACAGUGUGUAAUAAGCCUAUAAGUGUACUGUAGCAAGGUAUAACCAAUGUAGGUAAAGCUAUAAUAAGGCUGUUUCUCGUGAUGUGUAGUAAAAUACACUAUAAGACAUAACUAGGUUAAAGUAGCUCAAUCGAGAUAAUUACAGGAUAUUUAAAAGAUAUUAGCAAUUAUCUUACAAACAUCUGAAUGAUGGGUGAAAUUUAUGAGUAAUCAAUCUCAUAUGUGCAUUGACAAGGGUAAGAAGUAUUAGGUCGCUCCGAAAUACUCAGACUUACUUUCACAGUGACAGAAUAAUUAAGAAGAUAAUAUUUUGUAAGGCGAAGGUCUAAUAAUAUUAUAUAUCUAGA